rfam:Macrostomum lignano uti_cns_0009780, whole genome shotgun sequence.
GGGGUUGUAGCCCCGUGGUCAGAGCGUCGGACUCACGAAUUGAAGGUCGGGGGUUCGAUUCCCAGUCCCA